rnacentral:rRNA from 1 species
GAUGAACGCUGGCGGCGUGCCUAAUACAUGCAAGUCGAGCGAACGGACGAGAAGCUUGCUUCUCUGAUGUUAGCGGCGGAAGGGUGAGUAACACGUGGAUAACCUCCCUAUCAGACUGGGGUAACUUCGGGAAACCGGAGCUAAUACCCGAUAAUAUUUUGAACCGCAUGGUUCAAAAGUGAAAGACGGUCUUGCUUUGACUUAUAGAUGGAUCCGCGCUGCUUUAGCUAGUUGGUAAGGUAACGGCUAACCAAGGCAGCGAUGCGUGGCCGACCGGAAAGGGUGGUCGGCGACACCGGAAGUGAGGCACGGCCCAGACUCCUACGGGAGGCAGCAGUAGGGAAUCUUCCGCAAUGGGCGGAAGCAGGACGGAGCAACGCCGCGUGAGUGAUGAUGGUCUUCGGAUCGUAAAACUCUGUUAUUAGGGAAGAAGAUAUGUGGAAGUGACUGUGCACAGCUUGACGGUACCUAGUCAGAAAGCCACGGCUAACUACGUG